UACGUAGGGGGCAAGCGUUGUCCGGAUUUAUUGGGCGUAAAGCGCACGCAGGCGGUUCAUUAAGUUUGGAGUGGCAGUUCCUGGCUCAACCGGGAAAGUGCUUCGAACACUGGUGAACUUGAGGGCUUCAGAGGGACACGGAAUUCCAGGUGGAGUGGUGAAAUGCGUAGAGAUCUGGAAGAACACCAAAGGCGAAGGCAGCAUCCUGGGAAGUUCCUGACGCUCGGGUGCGAAAGCCAGGGGAGCGAACGGG
rnacentral:rRNA from 1 species